rnacentral:rRNA from 1 species
AUUGAACGCUGGCGGCAGGCCUAACACAUGCAAGUCGAACGAGCGGCGGACGGGUGAGUAAUGUCUGGGAAACUGCCCGAUGGAGGGGGAUAACUACUGGAAACGGUGGCUAAUACCGCAUACUAUCGGAUGUGCCCAUAUGGGAUUAGCUAGUUGGUGGGGUAACGGCUCACCAAGGCGACGAUCCCUAGCUGGUCUGAGAGGAUGACCAGCCACACUGGGACUGAGACACGGUCCAGACUCCUACGGGAGGCAGCAGUGGGGAAUAUUGCACCAUGGGCGCAAGCCUGAUGCAGCCAUGCCGCGUGUAUGAAGAAGGCCUUCGGGUUGUAAAGUACUUUCAGCGGGGAGGCGUUACCCGCAGAAGAAGCACCGGCUAACUCCGUGCCAGCAGCCGCGGUAAUAC